UGGAGCAGCAAGAACAUGAAAAGCCAUUUGCAAGGUCAAUGCUAAGAUAACCAUUCUAUAUGUUCAAAGACAUUCUAGUUAACAUUAUUAUACACAAAUGAAUUGUCUGCUAUAACCAGAAAUAUAACCAUGCAAUUAUCUACCUUUGAUAGUACAUUCUCAAAAAUCAUUGAUUACUUCCUAGAGAUUUACAUGUUUGAAGAUUGCCAAUGGUCAAAAUGCUCUACCGAUUGCUUUCAAAAUACCAACCAAAACCCUCCAGAUGGAAUGUUUAGGCAAAUACUGUCCUAACUCUGCUUUAUUAGUUGGAGUCAUUAACUCUAUACAGAAUCAUAAUACCAG
rnacentral:lncRNA from 1 species